rnacentral:rRNA from 1 species
UUUGAGAGUUUNAUCCUNGCUCAGGACGAACGCUGGCGGCGUNCCUAAUACAUGCAAGUUGAGCGCUGAAGGUUNGUACUUGUACCGACUGGAUGAGCAGCGAACGGGUGAGUAACGCGUGGGGAAUCUGCCUNNGAGCGGGGGACAACAUUUGGAAACGAAUGCUNAUACCGCAUAAAAACUUUAAACACAAGUNNNAAGUUUGAAAGAUGCAAUUGCAUCACUNAAAGAUGAUCCCNCGUNGUAUUAGCUNGUUGGUGAGGUNAAGGCUCACCAAGGCGAUGAUACAUAGCCGACCUGAGAGGGUGAUCGGCCACAUUGGGACUGAGACACGGCCNNAACUCCUACGGGAGGCAGCAGUAGGGAAUCUUCGGCAAUGGACGAAAGUCUGACCGAGCAACGCCGCGUGAGUGAAGAAGGUUUUCGGAUCGUAAAACUCUGUUGGUAGAGAAGAACGUUGGUGAGAGUGGAAAGCUNAUNAAGUNACGGUAACUACCCAGAAAGGGACGGCUAACUACGUGCCAGCAGCCGCGGUAAUACGUAGGUCCCNAGCGUUGUCCGGAUUUAUUGGGCGUAAAGCGAGCGCAGGUGGUUUAUUAAGUCUNGUGUAAAAGGCAGUGGCUNAACCAUUGUAUGCAUUGGAAACUGGUAGACUNGAGUGCAGGAGAGGAGAGUGGAAUUCCAUGUGUAGCGGUGAAAUGCGUAGAUAUAUGGAGGAACACCGGUGGCGAAAGCGGCUCUCUGGCCUGUNACUGACACUGAGGCUNGNAAGCGUGGGGAGCAAACAGGAUUAGAUACCCUNGUAGUCCACGCCGUAAACGAUGAGUGCUAGAUGUAGGGAGCUAUAAGUNCUCUGUAUCGCAGCUAACGCAAUAAGCACUNCGCCUNGGGAGUACGACCGCAAGGUUGAAACUCAAAGGAAUUGACGGGGGCCGCACAAGCGGUGGAGCAUGUNGUUUNAUUCGAAGNAACGCGAAGAACCUNACCAGGNNUNGACAUACUNGUGCUNUUCCUAGAGAUAGGAAGUUCUUCGGGACACGGGAUACAGGUGGNGCAUGGUNGUCGUCAGCUCGUGUCGUGAGAUGUUGGGUNAAGUCCCGCAACGAGCGCAACCCCUNUUGUUAGUUGCCAUCAUUAAGUUGGGCACUCUAACGAGACUGCCGGUGAUNAACCGGAGGAAGGUGGGGAUGACGUNAAAUCAUGAUGCCCCUUAUGACCUNGGCUACACACGUGCUACAAUGGAUGGUACAACGAGUCGCGAGACAGUNAUGUNNAGCUNAUCUCUNAAAACCAUNCUCAGUUCGGAUUGUAGGCUGCAACUNGCCUNCAUGAAGUCGGAAUCGCUAGUAAUCGCGGAUCAGCACGCCGCGGUNAAUACGUUCCCGGGCNUNGUACACACCGCNCGUNACACCACGGGAGUUGGGAGUACCCGAAGUAGGUUGCCUNACCGCAAGGAGGGCGCUUCCUAAGGU